rnacentral:lncRNA from 1 species
CUCUGCCCUAACUUCUACUCCGGCUGGUUCCCGCUCCUCUGCAGGUCCCUGCGCCUGGCCCUGGGAUCACUGGAGGCACAGCCGGAGGACUGGCUGCCAGGACCCAGAGCCAACAAGCCCAGAGUCCCCCAGCAGAUGGAGCUCCUGGCACCACUUCUGCUUUUCCUUUGCGAGCUGUGGGCGACCUGCCCAUGGACCCACAAUCUCUGCAUAUCUGUACAAUUGGAAUGCUGGGUUCCCUCUGGACUGGCCAGAUUGGAACUACAACACGGCUCAAGAUGAUUCCUCACCCAUUCACUGCUGUGCGGACAUCCUUGUGGAAGAAACUGGGAUCCAUAGUGAUCUAUGAGACCAGCCAUGGCCAGUCGUUCCAAACUGUUACACAGAAGCAGCUUCCUAGUAAAAGGCCCUUCAGAUGGCUGAGGGGCGGCCCAUUAACAUCUACACUGAUAGCAGUUUUUAUAGAUACCUUUUCAGGAUGGGUGGAGACCUACCCAACCAAAAAAGAAACUGCCAAUGUUGUGGCUAAGAAGAUCCUAGAAGAAAUUUUUCCGCGGUUCAGAAUAUGUAGGGUAAUAGGAUCUGACAACGGUUGUUGCCCAGCCCUAGAAGUGUUCAGAAACACCGCCUGGGAGAAGCUCAAGGAGGCCUACGAACCAGGAGAUUUAAUGUUAUCACACAAGUUCCGGGUGGGAGAUGCAGUUCUCAUCCUACGACACCGAGCUGGGAAACUAGAACCUCAUUGGAAAGGACCUUACAUCAUGCUGCUGACCACCCCCACUGCUGUCAAAGUAGAAGGCAUCUCUGCUUAGAUUCAUGUCUCUCACAUAAAGCGAGUUCCUAAAGAAUAAAUCCCCUUGGUUGAUCAUCCUCAUUUCUACUCUGAUGGGCCCUCUAAUAAUUUUGCUCUUACUGCUGACAUGUGGCCCGCUAAUUCUUAAUAAAUUAGUGACCUUUGUUAGAGAUAAGUUUGGUGCCAUCCAGCU